rnacentral:rRNA from 1 species
ACUCCUACGGGAGGCAGCAGUAGGGAAUCUUCCGCAAUGGACGAAAGUCUGACGGAGCAACGCCGCGUGAGUGAUGAAGGUUUUCGGAUCGUAAAGCUCUGUUGUUAGGGAAGAACAAGUAUCUGUUAAAUAAGCAGGUACCUUGACGGUACCUAACCAGAAAGCCACGGCUAACUACGUGCCAGCAGCCGCGGUAAUACGUAGGUGGCAAGCGUAGUCCGGACUAAUUGGGCGAAAAGCGCGCGCAGG